rnacentral:rRNA from 1 species
AGCAGCCGCGGUAAUUCCAGCUCCAAUAGCGUAUAUUAAAGUUGUUGCAGUUAAAAAGCUCGUAGUUGAAUUUCGGGAUCAGUACGCUGGUCGUGCCUUUGGUAUGUACUGGUGUCACUGAUUCCUCCCUUCUGAAGAACCGUUAUGCCAUUUAUUUGGUGUGGCGGGGAAUCAGGACUGUUACUUUGAAAAAAUUGAGUGUUUAAAGCAGGCUCGCGCUUGAAUACAUUAGCAUGGAAUAAUGAAAUAGGACGUUUGAUCUUAUUUUGUUGGUUUCUAGGAUCGACGUAAUGAUUAAUAGGGAUAGUUGGGGGCAUUAGUAUUCAAUUGUCAGAGGUGAAAUUCUUGGAUUUAUUGAAGACUAACUACUGCGAAAGCAUUUGCCAAGGAUGCUUUCAUUAAUCAAGACGAAAGUUAGGGAUCGAAGACGAUCAGAUACCGUGUAGUCUU